rnacentral:rRNA from 1 species
AGUGAACGCUGGCGGUAGGCCUAACACAUGCAAGUCGAACGGCAGCACAGUAAGAGCUUGCUCUUACGGGUGGCGAGUGGCGGACGGGUGAGGAAUACAUCGGAAUCUACUUUUUCGUGGGGGAUAACGUAGGGAAACUUACGCUAAUACCGCAUACGACCUGCGGGUGAAAGCAGGGGAUCUUCGGACCUUGCGCGAUUGAAUGAGCCGAUGUCGGAUUAGCUAGUUGGCGGGGUAAAGGCCCACCAAGGCGACGAUCCGUAGCUGGUCUGAGAGGAUGAUCAGCCACACUGGAACUGAGACACGGUCCAGACUCCUACGGGAGGCAGCAGUGGGGAAUAUUAGACAAUGGGCGCAAGCCUGAUCCAGCCAUACCGCGUGGGUGAAGAAGGCCUUCGGGUUGUAAAGCCCUUUUGUUGGGAAAGAAAAGCAGCAGGUUAAUACCCCGCUGUUCUGACGGUACCCAAAGAAUAAGCACCGGCUAACUUCGUG